rnacentral:tRNA from 3 species
GGGCCUGUAGCUCAUCAGGAUAGAGCAGCGGUUUCCUAAACCGCGUGCGGGAGGUUCGAGUCCUCUCAGGCCCACCA